AGUACUGUUCGUCUAGAUAACAUCCAGCAGUACCCACACGACCUUGCAUGCAAGUUGCAUGCAAAGUUUUGUCUGUCUAGUUUUUCUAUUUGUCGGUUAGUCUUGAGGUGAUAUUGCUCCGUGUUCGUUGUUGAUCGAAGAUCUAGCUGUUUUGGCGCUCCAGAACACACCUUUUGAUGCUACCUUCCCUGACAAAUGCAGCUUUAGCUGAAAAGCCCCCGGACAUGAAAACUGUAUUUUCUAAUCCCCUGAAGAAGACCGCAUAUCGCGUCGAAACGUCGGAAUAAAGAAAAAACUACAAGUUUUUGAAUUUUGUCUCUGACUGCUGAGCCGAAAAACAACCUAAUUGUG